GAUGAACGCUGGCGGCGUGCCUAAUACAUGCAAGUCGAGCGAACAGACGAGGAGCUUGCUCCUCUGACGUUAGCGGCGGACGGGUGAGUAACACGUGGAUAACCUACCUAUAAGACUGGGAUAACUUCGGGAAACCGGAGCUAAUACCGGAUAAUAUAUUGAACCGCAUGGUUCAAUAGUGAAAGACGGUUUUGCUGUCACUUAUAGAUGGAUCCGCGCCGCAUUAGCUAGUUGGUAAGGUAACGGCUUACCAAGGCAACGAUGCGUAGCCGACCUGAGAGGGUGAUCGGCCACACUGGAACAGAGACACGGACGAGACUCCUACGGGAGGCAGCAGUAGGGAAUGUUCCGCAAUGGGCGAAAGACUGACGGAGCAACGCCGCGUGAGAGAUGAGGGUCUUCGGAUCGUAAAACUCUGUUAUUAGGGAAGAAAAAAAGUGUAAGUAACUAUGCACGUCUUGACGGUACGUAAGCAGAAAGCAACGGCUAACUACGUG
rnacentral:rRNA from 1 species